rnacentral:rRNA from 1 species
UACGGGGGGGGCAAGCGUUGUUCGGAAUUACUGGGCGUAAAGGGCGUGUAGGCGGCCAACUAAGUCCGACGUGAAAUCCCCAGGCUUAACCUGGGAACUGCGUCGGAUACUGGAUGGCUUGAGUAUGGGAGAGGGAUGUAGAAUUCCAGGUGUAGCGGUGAAAUGCGUAGAUAUCUGGAGGAAUACCGGUGGCGAAGGCGGCCCCCUGGACCGGUACUGACGCUGAGGCGCGAAAGCGUGGGUAGCAAACGGG